rnacentral:miRNA from 1 species
CGGAUCAUGUGGAGACUCACC